GACGAACGCUGGCGGCGUGCUUAACACAUGCCAGUCGAACGGUGAAGCUCCAGCUUGCUGGAGUGGAUCAGUGGCGAACGGGUGAGUAACACGUGAGCAACCUGCCCCUGACUCUGGAAUAAGCGCUGGAAACGGCGUCUAAUACUGGAUACGAGAAGGGUCCGCAUGGGCACUUUCUGGAAAGUUUUUCGGUUGGGGAUGGGCUCGCGGCCUAUCAGCUUGUUGGUGAGGUAAUGGCUCACCAAGGCGACGACGGGUAGCCGGCCUGAGAGGGCGACCGGCCACACUGGGACUGAGACACGGCCCAGACUCCUACGGGAGGCAGCAGUGGGGAAUAUUGCACAAUGGGCGAAAGCCUGAUGCAGCGACGCCGCGUGAGGGAUGACGGCCUUCGGGUUGUAAACCUCUUUCAGCAGGGAAGAAGCGAAAGUGACAGUACCUGCAGAAGAAGCACCGGCUAACUACGUG
rnacentral:rRNA from 1 species